rnacentral:lncRNA from 1 species
UCUCCCUCAUUAGUAUCUCCAUGUAUCUUUGGUGAAAUUGCUGGCUUUCGUUCUCCGCCUCUCGAUGCCUUUUCCUUAAGACUUUGGAUUUUGCCUCCACAUCCUUGACGGCCUGCUGCUCGUAUACCAGCUGGAUCUUCAACUGCUGCAGCUCGACCUUCCCCUCCCCAAGGGCGAUAGAUAGCUCUUCUGCGGUUCUUCUCAGGGAUUGGAGUUCGCUGGAAUCUCG